CUAAUCCCACUGUUCUGCUGCUGAUGCACCUGGGUGUGAUGAGGAGGACUCCCAUAGCCUCUGUGAAUUUGGCUACAUCCCAACAGGAUUGGUGCUGAUUCCAGUCACACUCAACAUUUUGCAGCCUAGGAAACCUGUAUUGACCACAGCUGCCCUAUCACAGAGGAAACUGCUGGGAAGAACGAUCGAAUUCACUCAGCUGGAUUCAACCCCUCUUCCAUCUUUUGACAGCUGAUGUAAAAUCAGGAACAUCUCUACUGAAGGCAAGUCAGUUAUGCUGUGUCAAAGAAGUGAAGGUAGGAAAAAAUGAUUAAUUCCUACUCUAGUCUUGUUUGAUUAAAGCA
rnacentral:lncRNA from 1 species